CAACCACUGCUCACCGUCUUCUAAUUUCUAAAGAUUCUCUCGUGUGCGGCUAAACGUAGUUUGUCCUCGAGAUCCACAUGCAGCGACUGGUCAUCGUUGUCUGCCUGUUGGUGGCGCUGUCUGUUCUAUACACUGAAGGCUUGAUUUUCGAUAUGAUUAAGGGGACGAACGGUGAACACGAGACUAAUUCGCUGUCGAAUAUAAAAAGAAAUGUGAAAGAAGAUAUUUUCACAGCAAAGCGGGCAGUGAGGGGAGCUGGUCCAUACCCGGUAUCUUUGGUGAAAAACAAAAGAGUGUCAAUCAAACGGUUUCAACCACCACCAGAAGAUGAAUCCCCCUAGGGAGCAGUGAUGUCAGAUGUCAAAGGUCAGAGGUUGGAGCGCUGCUGACAGAAUUUCCCCAGGACUAAAGGCAUUUUCUGCAGAAAUGUCAUGAUGCACCUUGUUUUAAAGUUCUAAAAGUGUGAACUUCGAACGAUCUAAUAAAGAAUAAAGAGAUCACAGAACAAGA
rnacentral:lncRNA from 1 species